rnacentral:rRNA from 1 species
GACGAACGCUGGCGGCGUGCUUAACACAUGCAAGUCGAACGGUGACCCAGGGCUUGCCCUGGUGAUCAGUGGCGAACGGGUGAGUAACACGUGGGCAACCUGCCCCUGACUUCGGGAUAACUCCUCGAAAGAGGAGCUAAUACCGGAUACGACCACUUCGGACAUCCGAUGGUGGUGGAAAGUUUUUCGGUCAGGGAUGGGCCCGCGGCCUAUCAGCUAGUUGGUGGGGUAAUGGCCUACCAAGGCGACGACGGGUAGCCGGCCUGAGAGGGCGACCGGCCACACUGGGACUGAGACACGGCCCAGACUCCUACGGGAGGCAGCAGUGGGGAAUAUUGCGCAAUGGGCGAAAGCCUGACGCAGCGACGCCGCGUGAGGGAUGAAGGCCUCGGUUGUAACCUCCUUCAGCAGGACGAAGCGAAAGUGACGGUACCGUGCAGAAGAAGCACCGGCUAACUACGUGCCAGCAGCCGCGGUAAU